GCGGAAGUGGCGAAAUUGGUAGACGCACCAGAUUUAGGUUCUGGCGUCGCGAGGCGUAAGAGUUCAAGUCUCUUCUUCCGCACCA
rnacentral:tRNA from 1 species